UACAGAGGGCGCGAGCGUUGUCCGGAAUCACUGGGCGUAAAGGGCGCGUAGGUGGCGGCAUAAGGCCGUGGUGAAAGUCCGGGGCUCAACUCCGGAUCGGCCAUGGCGACUGUGUCGCUGGGGCACCGUAGAGGCAGAUGGAAUUCCGGGUGUAGCGGUGGAAUGCGUAGAGAUCCGGAAGAACACCGGUGGCGAAGGCGGCCUGCUGGGCAGUUUGGCUGACACUGAGGCGCGACAGCGUGGGGAGCAAACAGG
rnacentral:rRNA from 1 species